rnacentral:rRNA from 1 species
CCUACGGGAGGCAGCAGUGAGGAAUAUUGGUCAAUGGGCUUACGCCUGAACCAGCCAAGUCGCGUGAGGGAAGACUGCCCUAUGGGUUGUAAACCUCUUUUGUCAGGGAGCAACGCCGGCUACGUGUAGCCGGUCUGAGAGUACCUGCAGAAAAAGCAUCGGCUAACUCCGUGACAGCAGCCGCGGUAAUACGGAGGAUGCGAGCGUUAUCCGGUUUUAUGGGGUUUAAGGGGUGCAUAGGCGGAAUGCCAAGUCAGCGGUAAAAUCGCGGGGCCAAACCUGGAUCCGCCGUUGAAACUGGCGGUCUUGAGUGGGCGAGAGGUAUGCGGAAUGCGUGGUGUAGCGGUGAAAUGCAUAGAUAUCACGAAGAACUCCGAUUGCGAAGGCAGCAUACCGGAGCGCAACUGACGCUGAGGCACGAAAGCGUGGGUAUCGAACAGGAUUAGAUACCCCAGUAGUC